rnacentral:rRNA from 1 species
AGUGAACGCUGGCAGUAGGCCUAACACAUGCAAGUCGAACGGCAGCACAGUAAGAGCUUGCUCUUACGGGUGGCGAGUGGCGGACGGGUGAGGAAUACAUCGGAAUCUACUUUUUCGUGGGGGAUAACGUAGGGAAACUUACGCUAAUACCGCAUACGACCUACGGGCGAAAGCAGGGGAUCUUCGGACCUUGCGCGAUUGAAUGAGCCGAUGUCGGAUUAGCUAGUUGGCGGGGUAAGGGCCCACCAAGGCGACGAUCCGUAGCUGGUCUGAGAGGAUGAUCAGCCACACUGGAACUGAGACACGGUCCAGACUCCUACGGGAGGCAGCAGUGGGGAAUAUUGGACAAUGGGCGCAAGCCUGAUCCAGCCAUACCGCGUGGGUGAAGAAGGCCUUCGGGUUGUAAAGCCCUUUUGUUGGGAAAGAAAAGCAGCAGGUUAAUACCCCGCUGUUCUGACGGUACCCAAAGAAUAAGCACCGGCUAACUUCGUG